rnacentral:rRNA from 1 species
GACGAACGCUGGCGGCGUGCUUAACACAUGCAAGUCGAACGGAAAGGCCCUGCUUUUGUGGGGUGCUCGAGUGGCGAACGGGUGAGUAACACGUGAGUAACCUGCCCUUGACUUUGGGAUAACUUCAGGAAACUGGGGCUACUACCGGAUAGGAGCUCCUGCUGCAUGGUGGGUGUUGGAAAGUUUCGGCGGUUGGGGAUGGACUCGCGGCUUAUCAGCUUGUUGGUGGGGUAGUGGCUUACCAAGGCUUUGACGGGUAGCCGGCCUGAGAGGGUGACCGGCCACAUUGGGACUGAGAUACGGCCCAGACUCCUACGGGAGGCAGCAGUGGGGAAUAUUGCACAAUGGGCGGAAGCCUGAUGCAGCAACGCCGCGUGCGGGAUGACGGCCUUCGGGUUGUAAACCGCUUUCGCCUGUGACGAAGCGUGAGUGACGGUAAUGGGUAAAGAAGCACCGGCUAACUACGUG